GAGGAAUAUUGGUCAAUGGGGGGAACCCUGAACCAGCCAUCCCGCGUGCAGGAAGACAGUUCUAUGGAUUGUAAACUGCUUUUCUUGGGGAAGAAUAAUGACGACGUGUCGUCAGAUGACGGUACCCGAGGAAUAAGCAUCGGCUAACUCCGUGCCAGCAGCCGCGGUAAUACGGAGGAUGCAAGCGUUAUCCGGAUUUAUUAGGUUUAAAGGGUGUGUAGGCGGAUGUAUAAGUCAGUGGUGAAAGUCAGCAGCUUAACUGUAGAAUUGCCAUUGAUACUGUAUGUCUUGAGUGUGGUUGAGGUAUGCGGAAUGUGUAAUGUAGCGGUGAGAUGCAUAGAUAUUACACAGAACACCGAUUGCGAAGGCAGCAUGCUAAGCCACAACUGACGCUGAUGCACGAAAGCGUGGGGAUCAAAC
rnacentral:rRNA from 1 species